CGAUAUGUAGUACACCGUGAUAAGCUGACAGGAACAACACCGUUUUAUUGGAUUACAUGUGGAAUAGCUGCUGGUGCAUACUAGAUGGUUAUUGAUAAUAAUUUGAUACCGUCCUUCAGAUUUGUUUUAUUACCGACACUAUAUUGUAUAUAUUGGACGUCGAAUUAGCUAAAUAACAUGACGCUUUCUUGGUAAUAACAGGACUGUCUUCAGCCAGAUUAUGUCCACAGUUGGAGAUUUUUGUAGAAAGAGGAACAUUUUUGUGACCAGAAGUUGAGAACUCUAUAGUUUCAUUAUGCCAGGAUUUCACGCCUGUAAUAAACUUCUUAAGAAGUAUGAAGAGGACAAAGCCUACCGAAUACAUAAAAAAAAGGUUGCUGAAUCAAGGACAGCUUUAGAUACUAAAUCUCCAAAGAAAUAUGCCCAUGUCCUUGUACGACUCAAGAGAAUACAG